UCUUUCUUCUUCUUAAGUGGGUCCAUGAGGCGCAGCGUGUCUCUGAUCACAGCCACUUUCACCUCCUCAUCCACAAGGCUGGGGACAUUUUCGAACACCCCUGGAGAAAGCUUGAAUGGCAGGAUUCGAGAAUGGGACUUCACAAGAGAUCAAUGCCAGCCUCCCAGGACCUUCCACGGAGCCCUUCGUGCAACUGUGACCUUGACGCUUAUGUAGUUAUUUAAUAUUCAUCCAAAGCAUUCAUACACGUGGCACUUUACAGUAAAUAUGAGAGUCCUGGACAAAUGGCAGUUAUGGAUCAGGAAGUGAAAAAUGUCAAGUUUGCACUGAUGGCUAAUUUUUCCCUCUGGAAAGCAUUUGCUGAGCCAAAGAUACUAACAGCUCAAUAUAUUAUGAGGAGCGAUAUUUUCUCCUUUGAAUUCAGUGUAUAUGCCUUAAAUAAAUUAAACUGCCUGGUCAA